rnacentral:rRNA from 1 species
UACAGAGGUCCCAAGCGUUGUUCGGAUUCACUGGGCGUAAAGAGCGUGUAGGCAGCUCGGUAAGUCCGCUGUAAAAGUCCAGGGCUCAACCCUGGAAUGCCGGUGGAAACUGUCGAGCUAGAGUCCGGAAGAGGCGAGUGGAAUUCCUGGUGUAGCGGUGAAAUGCGCAGAUAUCAGGAGGAACACCAAUGGCGAAGGCAGCUCGCUGGGACGGUACUGACGCUGAGACGCGAAAGCGUGGGGAGCAAACAGG